GCCAGUGUGGUGUAGUGGUUUGAGCCCUGGACUAGGACUCUGGAGAUCAGGGUUCGAUUUCCCGCUCAGCCA